UACGUAGGUGGCGAGCGUUGUCCGGAUUUACUGGGCGUAAAGGGCGUGCAGGCGGUUUGUUAAGUGCAGAGUGAAAGCUCCCGGCUCAACUGGGAGAGGUCUUUGCAUACUGGCAAACUCGAGGGAGGCAGAGGAAAGUGGAAUUCCCGGUGUAGCGGUGAAAUGCGCAGAUAUCGGGAAGAACACCGGUGGCGAAGGCGGCUCUCUGGACCUGUCCUGACGCUCAGGCGCGAAAGCUAGGGGAGCGAACAGG
rnacentral:rRNA from 1 species